UGAAGAGGCAGGAAAGGGCCAUGGAUUGGGGACCCACACACUUAAGUGACCCGUUGGGUUCAGAGCAGAUAAGCGUAGGUUUGUUUUCCAUCCUGCUGGCCCCAGGAGAUACCAGAUUAGAAAGGGGGUUGUCAGAGUUUCCUAUUUGUGGCUAUUUGGGAGCUUGGCCUUUUCUCUAGGACAUGAGUCAGGCCCGUUUCAUUGUCUCCUUUCCCUCGAACAGGAAGGAGAGGCAGUGUUUCUAAAAAGUGAAAGCGGAUGUUUUGAUGGCAGCGGAGCAGUGUUUCAUCACAUCAGCUGGGGAGCUGGCCGCUUUGACUCCAAGGAGCAUUCAGUGAGACACCGUUGAUGCCUGUUCAGCUUUGGACCCACUCUCCCCUCAUCCCUGUCUGCAGGACUCCCUCCUGAAGAGUCAUUUCCCGUUUUGUACGCUUGCAGCGGAUUGUCCCUUCCUAACAAAUCCACACACGUGCAAGAAAAAUACGUCGCAAUUCCAGUGAGUCGUCAGGCAACACUUACAGCGUUCGGUUUAGAGGGGAGCCGUCCACCCAGCUCCAGGCUUGGCGGCUCUCGUUCCAGAACUGGCUCUCGUUCGAACCCCAGUAGCACUUGGCUCGGUUCUCCCACCAGU